GAUAUCACAGAUAUAGAUAUCACAGAUUUUCUAGGCUUAAGUUAUAAAAUCAUUAAAAUCGUAGAAGAGUUUAUUCAAAUUUCAUAUUCUCCAACCACUGUAACUUCGGUCGGGCCAAUUGUAAGACAUGAAAAAUCAAUAAAACUAUGGAGAAAUUUCUUUUGGCUGGAGGUAGCGGUGUGUACGUGGAAUGGCAUUUCUAUUUUGGCUGAUGAUUUGCUUUUGAUGAUGCGCACGAACAGGAACGGUUCGUCGGAGAGAACAGAGUCAGAGACCCAAGAAAAAAUAGAACUGGGAAUAUUGUGGCAACCGGAGACGAUGAAAGCCAAAAAGUAGCACAGCAAUUGGCACAGAAAUGGAAAUAAUUUGCAUUUAAUGACGACCGCCGCGUGGGCCGCAUAUGGCCAUGGUGGAGGUGGGCCCCGGGAGGAGGUUACCCCAAUCCUCAAUCCCUAUGCAUUAUGCACUAAUGUCGGUCCAAGUUCAAAUCAUUAGGUAUGGCAUGGUGUGUCUUUCGGCAGCGACUGACCAUCGCAGUCCGUUGGCUGGAUGGUCGAAUGGUCUGAUGGUCCUGGGCAAUUUGCAGAGUGCGCUGUCACGAUUAAUAACGCUGUCAUAAUAACACUUUUCUGUGAUUGAUUUAAGACAAUUACAGAAAAGAGGAACACAGCGCUCACGUUUGAUGAUGAGGAAUGGAGCUGGAAUAGAGUGUUCGGCAAGGGUUGCGGCUUCUCGGCCCUGAGUGAUUGGCGCUGGCCGCAGCGCUUAAGAAAGAGAUUAUCAAGUUGCCAAAUGGGCACGUCCGUCGAGGGAAUGGGAAUGGGAAUGGGAUUGGAACUUGCACUUGGACUUGGACUCCCUAGUAAUAUGGGCAUGGGCAUGGCGAUCGAGGGCGACUGGCUGCGAAAAGUGUUGAGCCGCGCAGACAUGCUAAAUUAAGCUGAAGAAGAUGGCUAUCAACACCACCAACACCGCCAACGAGUUGGUGGCUUCACUUCGGCUCAGUUCACUUCUUCUGGCUGGGAUGGCCUGGCGAAAUCGCUUGAUGUUGAUGGCUUACAACAAGUAAUUGGCAGCAUCCACAUGUUGGCCGCAACAACCACAGCCCAACUUCGUUUUGUGCCCAUCCGAGCGUCGCUUGUGUCAAAAGGUUAUGGGUACGGAUACCCCGCUCCCGCAUGUAAUAACAUUUCAAGCUGUGCUCUUUGGUCUUCAACUUGAACUUCUUACACGGCUGACUGCCCUGCUCACAGACCUCAAAGGCAGCCCACAUUUCAGAUCCCACAUCCACGGGCCAGGGCGUCAAUGUCAGAGCUUCGAUUUCGUUGCCAACUCUCUUUCUCUCUCUCUCUGGUUAUUGUUAUUGCCGCCGGAGCUGCCGCUUCUGCCUUUGGGCCGGGUCAAGUUCAAGGCUUCCCAUUUUGCGAAUUUUAUGCGUUUUUUGCCGCUUUGGCAAUACAAAAGUGCCCUAGACUCGGCACACGACUAUCUGCCGGCAGAAACGAGGAUCUGCCUUGGGCUUUGGGCCAAUUUUCUGUUGCGAAAUCUAAGUUAUGUGUGCUUUGGCAGUAGGGAUAACUAGUUAUGACCAGAAUCGAAACAAUCAAAUUGAUAGUUGUACCUUGGAAAUCAUAGUAUUUCUAAUAUAUUGCAAGCCCUUUUUAUUAUGCCUUAUUUAA